CCAGGCUGACAGGGCUUGGAGCAACAUGGGAUAGUGGAAGGUGUCCCAGCCCAUGGCAAGGAGUUGGAAUGAGAUAAGCUUUAAAGAUUCCUUCCAACCCAAACCAUUCUGGGAUUCUAUGAUU